AUUGAACGCUGGCGGCAGGCUUAACACAUGCAAGUCGAGCGGGGUUUUCGGACCUAGCGGCGGACGGGUGAGUAAUGCGUAGGAAGCUACCCGAUAGAGGGGGAUACCAGUUGGAAACGACUGUUAAUACCGCAUAAUGUCUACGGACCAAAGUGUGGGACCUUCGGGCCACAUGCUAUCGGAUGCGCCUACGUGGGAUUAGCUAGUUGGUGGGGUAAUGGCUCACCAAGGCGACGAUCCCUAGCUGGUUUGAGAGGAUGAUCAGCCACACUGGAACUGAGACACGGUCCAGACUCCUACGGGAGGCAGCAGUGGGGAAUAUUGGACAAUGGGCGCAAGCCUGAUCCAGCCAUGCCGCGUGUGUGAAGAAGGCCUUCGGGUUGUAAAGCACUUUCAGUAGGGAGGAAGAGUUGAGUGUUAAUAGUACUCAGCUUUGACGUUACCUACAGAAGAAGCACCGGCUAACUACGUGCCAGCAGCCGCAGUAAGAC
rnacentral:rRNA from 1 species